rnacentral:rRNA from 1 species
CUAGCGUUGCUCGGAAUCACUGGGCGUAAAGGGUGCGUAGGCGGGUCUGUAAGUCAGGGGUGAAAUCCUGGAGCUCAACUCCAGAACUGCCUUUGAUACUGAAGAUCUUGAGUUCGGGAGAGGUGAGUGGAACUGCGAGUGUAGAGGUGAAAUUCGUAGAUAUUCGCAAGAACACCAGUGGCGAAGGCGGCUCACUGGCCCGAUACUGACACUGAGGAGCGAAAGCGUGGGGAGCGAACAGG